rnacentral:tRNA from 1 species
AAAGAGGCCCGAGGCAGCAAGGACUGCUAAUCCUUGCACCCAUGGUUAAACUCCA